GCUUGUCUCAAAGAUUAAGCCAUGCAUGUCUAAGUAUAAACAAAUUUAUAGUGAAACUGCGAAUGGCUCAUUAUAUCAGUUAUAGUUUAUUUGGCGAUAAAAACUACUUGGAUAACCGUAGUAAUUCUAGAGCUAAUACAUGCAUCAUCCCCCAUCUCGGGGUGUAUUUAUUAGAUAAAAAACCAAUGCCCCUCGGGGCUCCUUGGUGAAUCAUAAUAACUUAACGAAUCGCAUGGCCUUGCGCCGGCGAUGGUUCAUUCAAAUUUCUGCCCUAUCAACUUUCGAUGGUAGGAUAGUGGCCUACCAUGGUGGCAACGGGUAACGGGGAAUUAGGGUUCGAUUCCGGAGAGGGAGCCUGAGAAACGGCUACCACAUCCAAGGAAGGCAGCAGG
rnacentral:rRNA from 1 species